UGGCGGCAUGCCUUACACAUGCAAGUACGAACGGUAACAGGUAAAGCUGACGAGUGGCGAAACGGGUGAGUAAUAUAUCGGAACGUGCCCAGUCGUGGGGGAUAACUACUCGAAAGAGUAGCUAAUACCGCAUACGACCUGAGGGUGAAAGCGGGGGAUCGCAAGACCUCGCGCGAUUGGAGCGGCCGAUAUCAGAUUAGGUAGUUGGUGGGGUAAAAGCUCACCAAGCCAACGAUCUGUAGCUGGUCUGAGAGGACGACCAGCCACACUGGGACUGAGACACGGCCCAGACUCCUACGGGAGGCAGCAGUGGGGAAUUUUGGACAAUGGGCGCAAGCCUGAUCCAGCCAUGCCGCGUGCGGGAAGAAGGCCUUCUGGAUUGCAAACCGCUUUUGUCAGGGAAGAAAAGAUUCUGGGCCUCAUACCCGGUGUCGUCAUGACGGGUACCCUAAGCG
rnacentral:rRNA from 1 species